rnacentral:rRNA from 1 species
CGCAAGAUCGUACAGCGAUGUUUUGAAUUUAUUGUUUGUAAAAUGCAGACAUGUGAGAGAGGGACGAGAAGACCCUAUAGAUCUUAAAAAAGUUUUUAAUUAAAUUUUGAUUGGAAAUUUUUUUUAUUUGGGGAAAAUCCUGAAAUGUAUUAAAACUUCGGUUAAUAAAAAAAUUUAAUAAUUAAUUUUUGAUCCAUUUGUAGAGUGAAAAAAUGAAAAAGUUACCUUAGGGAUAACAGCGA